UGUGAUUUUGAAGAAAAAGGUACUCCCGAUUCUGAAACAGCAUGAAAGAAGAAGAAAAAGAAAUUUGUUGCAACUCAACCAACAUCAAAGAAACCUGGGAUUUCUGCCAAAAAAAGGUUACAAGGAAUGGAGAAUUCAUAAGUUCCCUGACGAUGGAGAAGACAUUCGGUCUAUGUGUUACCUCAAAGAAUAUUGGAAACUUCAUAAAGUA